CUCUAUACACAAGCACCUUCCUGACUUCCCCAGGAGCCCCCUUUCCCUCUUCCUCUUCUGGGGGUGCCUGCUGUGUCUAGAAUGUUUCUUUCUUUCCCUUCAUUCCACAUUGUCCAAGUGCCACCUGGUAAAGCUCAUUGUGUGUCACUGACUCCCAUGACCCUGUCUCUUGAUCAACCCUAAAAUCCUGAAACUUACCAUGUUCCUUCAGCCUGCUUCUGAGUCAGUCUGGGCAUCUUUCCAGUGGCUCAGUGCAGGUGCUGUGGAGACACCACCUCCACUGUCACCAAGUUCUCCAGCAUGAAGUCUGCUUCUCAGUGUCCAGGGCAGCAGCUCUUGGGAAGCCAAAGGGACAGACACCCAUCCCCAAGCCAAGGACCCCAGGCUUCAGGCUCUGAAAAUUCAGAUACUAGAUUUCCAAACUUAAAGAACAGUGAAGAGACGGUGAAGAGUAGUGAGUCAAAAACUCCAAGAAAGGGCCUGUCUAGGUGUGCUGAUUUGACAGCACAGGAAAAGGAUGAAGAGCAAAGCAACAACUCUGCCCAUCUUUCCAUGAAGAUCAUAGGCAUGUGCUCUUCUUACCACUGGUCCUGCAAGCACUUGGUAUGCAACUUGAGAG